CUCACAACUUUUCUCAGUUCUCCUGUUCUCUCCCUUUUAUUCCACAUUCCACUUCUCUCCUCUCCUGUGACAUCCUCAGUCAAUCACCGAAAUCUUUCUAGAAGAAAAACCACGGGCAUUUUUCAUAUCUUUUCUUGAAAGUUGUCGCUCACAUUCCCUCUUCUUUCUGAAACCUCUCUAAUCUCUUACUACAGAAGACGGCCCGAGGCCACUGCUUCUCUUUUCCUCCUCCUCAAGUAGCUUCUCCUUCUACUCCCUGUUUCUCUUCUCAGAUGUUACCAGAUCAUCCAGGGAAGCAGUCAGUCAGGUUAAAGGACGGGUCCUCCCAAGUGCUCACCAGCCUGCUCCCUAUGUGUGAUCUCCUGAAGAGUCAAGUAGGGAGAGAGAAACAUGGCUUCAUGAGUUCAUGGGGAAGUGGGUGCAUGACUGAACUGUCCCUGUUCUCAGCAAAUGUGCUUUUUAUUUUAUGCAUAGUUUGGAUAUGAGACAACCUUCCCCUAGGGACUCUUUAUAAAAUGGGGAGAAUUGUGUGUCUUAUUCCAACAAAGGAGGCCCAAAUAGAAAACUAAAGACUGAGAUGAGGUAGGAGGCUGCCAUGAGAAGGCCUCUCACUCCGCCCUCGGACAGGGAAUCGGCAACGGUCAGGCCCUGGUGGGGGCAGGAGCCUCUGUCAGGACCCCUAGCCUCCAAUCACAAACACAAUCGGCUUUGGCCUGGGCAGUAGGGGGUGCUGUGGGGCCUGCCAGUGAGGGCUCUGUGGGGCGGGAAGCCAAGGAAACAAAUACUUGAGCUUGGUCUGUACCCCGGACUGGGGUCGCCAGCUGGGUCUUCUCUGGGUCCCUGGGGAGCCCCAGGCAAGGCUCAGCUCAGGCUCACGCCACCCAGAAAUAACACCCAGCCACAGAGGCUGCACAUAGGCUUAGGGAGGGAUAUGGUUGGGCAGGGGAAGAGGAGCACAUUUGCAUGAAGGGCCCCUCACUCUCCUCUGGGGCUACAGGGUGGAUAAGAGAGACCUGUAGUCUGGCUGCCUCAGCAGCGCUCUGGGGAGUCUGCACCAUGGCCUGGACCACACUCCUCCUCCUCCUCACUCUCCUCCUUCACUGCACAGGGUCUGUCUCCCAGCCUGUGCUGACUCAAUCACCCUCUGCCUCUGCUGCCCUGGGAGCCUCAGUCAAGCUCACCUGCACUCUGAGCAGUGGGCACAGUAGCUAUGCCAUCGCAUGGCAUCAGCAGCAGCCAGGGAAGGCCCCUCGGUAUGUGAUGGAGCUUACAGGUAGUGGAAGCUACAACAAAGGGGAUGGAAUCCCUGAUCGCUUCUCAGGCUCCAGCUCUGGGGCUGACCGCUACCUCACAAUCUCCAACCUCCAGUCUGAGGAUGAGGCUGAUUAUUACUGUCACACCUGGGAUACUGGCAUUCACACAGUGACACAGGCAGAUGAGGAAGUGGGACAAAAACCCCAGCCUGCUUAGGGCCUUGUUCUGUGAAAAACUUCAAUUUUAAGACAUUCCUCAUAUGUACAACAUCUACUUGGAAGCAUUCUCUGGUUUAAAACAAUUGUACUCUCGAUUUCCCAUUCAAUGUUUCUAAAGUCUCAGAAAAAGUAAAAACAAAAGCAAAAACAUAAACCUCCUGAUAACGCUGAGACAUUGCCUGCUUGUGUACACAUGCUAAUACCAAACCCUGUGACUCUUUUCUCUUGAGAGAGAAAACAAAACAAAAGCAAAAACAUGAGCCUUCCCUGGAGCAAAUCUUGCUCAGAGCCCAAACACCAAGUCAGCAGGUGGACCGUUCCCUACCGCAUGGACUCUGUUCUUCAAGGGAUGAACAAAGAGACCUUCCCUUCCCACCAAGGUAUCUGCAGUCAGGGCUGUGUGAUGCUCCCUGUGCCCUGGGACAAGGCACUCAGGUGUGAAAUAUCAUGGAGGUCACAGGCCUGGGAGAAAUGCCAGGCCUAGAAGUCACCUGCUUCACUUGCAAAUUCUUUUACCUGUCAAAUUGUCAGAAUAGGAUGGGUUUGCGCAUGGGGGAACCUACUGGGGCCAGAAAACCUCUUUGUGGGCUGUGAGAAGGUGGCACGGAGGCUCCUAGGGCUCAUGAAUGUGGCUUCCUUCCAGCUCAUUCCACUCAGGAACAUGAGGACCCCCUGAGUUCACAAACACUGACUUGUGUUCUCUCUUUUCCUACCCCAUUGGAGCUUUCCAACCAUCUUGGCAGUGCAGUGGAAUCUGUGGGACAACAGACAGCAGAAACUCCUCAACCUGAGCAAGUGAAACUCCCUAUGUGAAGCUCUUGAUACGCCCAAAUCCUGCGGUCACUUUCUCCUGAACAGGGAACAGCAGAGAUAUUAAGGGUUACCAUGGAAACUGGCACUGAUGGCUCCAGAGGAACCCUGAAUUUGCGACCCAGGACUGGAGUGAUUGACCUUCAGGGGUCCAAGUCUGUUCUCUUUUGUCAAUCAUUCUUGACCACCUCUGGGCUUCAGACUGAGGGUCAGGAUGACUAUCACUGUCACAGCUGAAUACAACCUGAUGCUACUGUGAGCUCCCAUUCCACGGGAAUGUGACAUAAAAAUCUGCCCUCCAUUUCCUCCAUUAAAUCCAUCACUGUCCUGUGCCUAUUGUUAGUAACACUUGCACAAGUUUUGGUUUCUGUUGUCACUGUGCUUCCAGUGGGUCUGAUACCUUAAUUUAGCUCAUCUUGAAGAGGCCAGUGAAAAUAAACCUUUUCUUAAUGGCCUCCCAAUGCACAUAGAACAUUUGCCUGCAGAGGCUAAGAUACCCCCCUCCAUGUGCAAGAUGGGUACGUCCAGGGGAACACAGUCCCUACCCAUGUGACACAGGAGAUCUGAGUCUCAUCUUCCCAGUCCUGUAGAUAUCCCCUGUCCAGGCCUUGUGGAUCAUUCUCUGAGCUCUGAAACCCUAGGGAAACUGCUUCCUCUCGCUCCUCAGAAGACAUCCCCAAGGAGUUUCUGGAUCCUGAGGUACAGAAUCAACCUCCCAGUUAGAAUGGGGCUUUGGAACCCAUCACUGUUCACCCUCUCUACUUUAAUCCCAUGAACCUUAAUUCUUCCCCUACUCUGCUUCUUUGGCUGGGAUGAUGCUGGACUGCAUCUCAGUUCUUUGGAGACUAGAAGGAUAAAAAGCACAGAAAGCGGCUCGGCAUGGUGGCUCAUGCCUGUAAUCCUAGCACUUUGGAAGGCCGAGAUGGGUGGAUCAC